CCUACGGGGGGCAGCAGUGAGGAAUAUUGGUCAAUGGCCGAGAGGCUGAACCAGCCAAGUCGCGUGAGGGAAGACUGCCCUACGGGUUGUAAACCUCUUUUGUCUGGGAGCAAAGCUAACCACGUGUGCUUCUUUGAGAGUACCCUAUGAAUAAGCAUCGGCUAACUCCGUGCCAGCAGCCGCGGUAAUACGGAGGAUCCGAGCGUUAUCCGGAUUUAUUGGGUUUAAGGGGUGCGUAGGCGGAGGUGCAAGUCAGCGGUAAAAUUGUGGGGCUCAACCCCGUACUGCCGUUGAAACUGCAUGCCUUGAGUGCGCGAGAGGUAGGCGGAAUGCGUGGUGUAGCGGUGAAAUGUAUAGAUAUCACGCAGAACUCCGAUUGCGAAGGCAGCAUACCGGCGCGCAACUGACGCUCAUGCACGAAAGCGUGGGUAUCGAACAGGAUUAGAUACCCGUGUAGUC
rnacentral:rRNA from 1 species